rnacentral:rRNA from 1 species
ACGCUGGCGGCGUGCCUAGUACAUGCAAGUCGAACGAAGCUUUCUUUCACCGAAUGCUUGCAUUCACCGAAAGAAGCUUAGUGGCGAACGGGUGAGUAACACGUAGGCAACCUGCCCAAAAGAGGGGGACAACACUUGGAAACAGGUGCUAAUACCGCAUAACCAUGAACACCGCAUGAUGUUCAUGUAAAAGACGGCUUUUGCUGUCACUUUUGGAUGGGCCUGCGGCGUAUUAACUUGUUGGUGGGGUAACGGCCUACCAAGGUGAUGAUACGUAGCCGAACUGAGAGGUUGAUCGGCCACAUUGGGACUGAGACACGGCCCAAACUCCUACGGGAGGCAGCAGUAGGGAAUCUUCCACAAUGGACGAAAGUCUGAUGGAGCAACGCCGCGUGAAUGAAGAAGGCCUUCGGGUCGUAAAAUUCUGUUGUCAGAGAAGAACGUGCGUGAGAGUAACUGUUCACGUAUUGACGGUAUCUGACCAGAAAGCCACGGCUAACUACGUGCCAGCAGCCGCGGUAAUACGUAGGUGGCGAGCGUUGUCCGGAUUUAUUGGGCGUAAAGGGAACGCAGGCGGUCUUUUAAGUCUGAUGUGAAAGCCUUCGGCUUAACCGAAGUAGUGCAUUGGAAACUGGAAGACUUGAGUGCAGAAGAGGAGAGUGGAACUCCAUGUGUAGCGGUGAAAUGCGUAGAUAUAUGGAAGAACACCAGUGGCGAAAGCGGCUCUCUGGUCUGUAACUGACGCUGAGGUUCGAAAGCGUGGGUAGCAAACAGGAUUAGAUACCCUGGUAGUCCACGCCGUAAACGAUGAGUGCUAAGUGUUGGAGGGUUUCCGCCCUUCAGUGCUGCAGCUAACGCAUUAAGCACUCCGC